rnacentral:ncRNA from 2 species
ACGUGAGAUAGAGGUUGCAACGCUUAUAAGUAUUCUAAAGGAGACACAGAGAUGUCUAUGAGUUUAGAAAAAAGGAAGUGUUGCCGAAAUUGAUAAAUUUCUCUGCAUUUAUCAAUUGGGGCUGUUUUCGAAUAGAAACAGAACUGUCAUAUAUACAGACGUGUAUAUAUGAAGAGCUAUCUACAAA